ACGGAAGGCAGCAGUGGGGAAUAUUGGACAAUGGGGGCAACCCUGAUCCAGCGGCGCCGCGUGAGUGAAGAAGUAUUUCGGUAUGUAAAGCUCUAUCAGCAGGGAAGAUGAUGACGGUACCUGACUAAGAAGCCCCGGCUAACUACGUGCCAGCAGCCGCGGUAAUACGUAGGGGGCAAGCGUUAUCCGGAUUUACUGGGUGUAAGGGAGCGUAGGCGGUCAGACAAGUCAGAUGUGAAAGCCCGGGGCUCAACUCCGGGACUGCAUUUGAAACUGUAGGACUAGAGUACUGGAGAGGCAAGCGGAAUUCCUAGUGUAGCGGUGAAAUGCGUAGAUAUUAGGAAGAACACCGGUGGCGAAGGCGGCUUGCUGGACAGAGACUGACGCUGAGGCUCGAAAGCGUGGGGAGCAAACAGGAUUAGAUACCCUGGUA
rnacentral:rRNA from 1 species